rnacentral:lncRNA from 1 species
AUGCGGGAACACGGCUGGCAAAGAAGCCUGAGAGGCAGCCCCCCGCACACGGGAAGAUUGGCUAGGUCAGGCAAUAGACCUGAGCCAACUCCCCGUGCUUAUUAUGGGGAGGGUUUGGCGGUGAGAGCACCGUUCUAUGCGGAAGUGCGCAAGGUCUCGCCCAUCCGCACGCACAGUCUGGUGCGAGCGAUACCAGCCCCCCGCAAGUGCCGUGCUAGAGUGGGCAUCCAGCCAGGGAGAAGUAUGCCUGCGCAAUACAUCUGGCCACCAGUGCGUCUCCUGGGCCCAGGCUACCCUGCGCCUGCGCUACGCACGGCAGCCAUCUUGCCUCAGCACAGCCCAGUUUGCCCUGUGCCAGCACUCCGCCCGUGCCGGGCUACAGUACCAAUCCAGCCAGGACGGGUUGUGCAGGCUGUGCGCUCCAGACCUCCAGUGCAUAGUCAAGGCCUAGUGUAUCCAGUUCCUGCUCCUCGCACUAGCCCUGUGGUGCGCGUCCCUAGUCUGGUGCCUCCAAAGCCAGCCCCACGCACCAGGCCUUUAGUGCGCCUGCCCAGUCCAGUACGUCCUGUUCCUGCUCCUCGCACUAGCCCUGUGGUGCGUGUCACUAGUUUGGCGCCUCCAAAGCCAGUCCCACGCAUCAGGCCUUCAGUGCGCAGUCCCCGUCUAGAGCUUCCGGCGACAGUGACCAAGUCUAGAGCUUCCGGCGACAGUGCCCGGUCUAGAGCUUCCGGCGACAGUGCCCGGUCUAGAGCUUCCGGCAACAGUGCCCGGUCUAGAGCUUCCGGUGACAGUGCCCGGUCUAGAGCUUCCGGCGACAGUGCUCCGUCUAGAGCUUCCGGCGACAGUGCUCCGUCUAGAGCUUCCGGCGACAGUGCUCCGUCUAGAGCUUCCGGCGACAGUGCCCCGUCUAGAGCUUGUGGCGACAGUUCCCCGUCCACAGUCCGGAACCGACAGAGACGGCCCACAGUCCGGAACCGACAGAGACGGCCCACAGUUCCGGAACCGACAGAUGGCACGCAAGUCCGGCGUAGCCAGAGUCGCCCGCCAGUCCGGCGCAGCCAGAGUCGCCCGCCAGUCCGGCGCAGCCAGAGUCGCCCGCCAGUCCGGCGCAGCCAGAGUCGCCCCUCAGCCCAGAGCCUUCAGCGUUGGGCUACAGCCCUGAGCCUUCAGCAGGGGUGGACAGGUUAG